CACAGCAAUAUUAGUGGGAACAAAAGAUAAACAUAAACAUAAAAAUAUUAUAUAUAUAUAUAUGUAUAUAAAAAAAAAAAGAGAUAACAGAGAUUUCGGUACAGAACGAACAGGAGCAGCCGUGAAUCUUCAACAACCAUAGGAAUAUUCUUGACAUUUUAUGGAUAUCAGAAGACCUUGUGAGGAGUUUUCAGAGGAGCAAGCAAGAGAAUCGCUCAUUGCAAUCUCUUACUCUGUACCAGAAAAGGCUUUGGAUUCGAACAAUUCAUCUGAUGCAUUCAGUGGCGUAGAUGGUGUCGCCAUGUUCAAUGGCGAUGUAACCGAUCAUUAUCGGUCUGAACUGAUUUCCAUUUCCAAUUUGGAAUGUGUUGAUGUUUAAAAAUCUGUGCUAACAAACUGGACUGGGGGAGCCAUGAGGUUUCUGCAUCAACAUUGUGUUUGGCAUUUCAAUUCAAUAACCAUAAUGUAAUAGACUAUUCUUCUUCACUAUUAUUGGGGAUGUAUAAAUUACUCUUUCUCUCUUUUUCUCUUCAUGUGAUGAAAGCAUUGGAGGAAGUUCAAUCCUAUAUUCUUUAUGUAGAGAUUAUAUGUUCCAAAGCAAUCAGAGAACAUUCUUAUUUUACUCUAUAA